rnacentral:lncRNA from 1 species
AUCUCUCUGUUCAAAAACACAUCUCUCUGUUCAAAAACACAUCUCUCUGUUCUAAAACACAUCUCUCUGUUCUAAAACACAUCUCUCUGUUCUAAAACACACCUCUCUCUGUUCUAAAACACAUCUCUCUUCUCUGGCAGGAGAGAGCCAAUUAGAGGUACUUAUACUCAAGAGAUAUGAUCUUUUUAAUCCUCUGAUCUCUGUGCUCAGAACAGGCUCUUAAACGGACACGUGUGGUGAAGAAGUGGUCAAGUUGUUUGACCUACUUCUAUAGUGUUUAAUCUGCAACCUCAGUUAAACUUAUUGAAGAAAAAAACAACAACCUCUCCGAUGAUAACAGACCAGAAUCCAUACUACGGGUUAUAUAUCCGUUUUCUAAGGUAACUGUUGGUUAUUAUGAGGGCUCGGGACAAGGCUAAAUCUUCUUUCGUAGGAUGUUGUUUUUUUUAGCCACUGGAGGUUGGUGGCACCUUAAUUUGAGGAGGACGGGCUCGUGGUAACAGCUGGAGCGGAAUCAGUGGAAUGGAAUCAAACACAUGGUUUCCAUGGUUUCCCCGGGUGUUGGAUGUCGUUCCAUUUUCUUCCGUUCCCGGCUACUAUCACGAGCUGUCCUCCUCUCAGCAGCCUCCUGUGUUUUAGGCAUGUAUGUAACAUACGGUACAUACUGCACCAAUGUUGCAUAACCAUGAUACUCUGACUCUCUCACAUAACCAUGCUACUCUGAAUCUCUCACAUAACCAUGAUACUCUGAAUCUCUCACAUAACCAUGAUACUCUGAAUCUCUCACAUAACCAUGAUAGACUGAAUCUCUCACAUAACCAUGAUAGACUGAGUCUCUCACAAAGCUAUUCUUUCAUCUCAGUCCCAUGAUGUUGAUGCUGGCUAAAGACAUCUAUUUAUCCCCCACACCCCCCCAACCUCCCCUUUGGAAUUUCCCUUUAAGAUCAGAUCUAUUUCAUACCCAGCUCAGCGUGAUAGCUCGAGCAGCAGGCCCGAUCGCACCUCAUGACGUUUAACCACAACACCACUCGUUCUCACGCUGUCUCUCCGCUAUAAUGAGGAUCUCUGCACAAUUGUCGCUUCCCUUCUAUGUUAAAGACACGUAGUUCUGUUUCACACCUUCACAUCGUCAGCUGUCCAGACAUGGUGUACUGUGGGUAGUAGACAUGGGGUAUUGUAGGUAGGUUGACUCGGUGUCGUGCUUCUACAUCUGCAUUGCGUGCUGUUUUGUUUUGGGGGGGGGGGUUAGGCUGGGUUUCUGUAUAAGCACUUGGUGAUAUCUGGCUUUAUAAAUACAUUUGAUUGUGUUGAUUGAAUGUAUUGUGGGUAGACAUGGUACAGAGUGGCCCAGCGUCGUCUGGGUUUUGGCCGGUGUAGGCCGUCAUUGUAGACAGACUGGCCUAGUUAAAUAAAAGUGAACUAUUUUGGGUAGACAUGGUACAGUGUGGCCCAGCGUCAUCCAUAUAAAUAAAGGUUAACUAUUCAGUGUCUGUCUGUCCACUGUCUCUCUGUCCAGUGUCUGUCUGUCCAGUGUCUGUCUGUCUGUCCAGUGUCUGUCUGUCUGUCCAGUGUCUGUCUGUCUGUCCAGUAUCUGUCUGUUCAGUGUCUGUCUGUCCAGUGUCUGUCUGUCUGUCCAGUGUCUGCCUGUUCAGUAUCUGUCUGUCUGUUCAGUGUCUGUCUGUCCAGUGUCUGUCUGUCUGUCCAGUGUCUGUCUGUUCAGUGUCUGUCUGUCCAGUGUCUGUCUGUCUGUCCAGUGUCUGCCUGUUCAGUGUCUGUCUGUCUGUCCAGUGUCUGUCUGUCCAGUGUCUGUCUAUUCAGUGUCUGUCUGUCUGUUCAGUGUCUGUCUGUCUGUCUAGUGUCUGUCUGUUCAGUGUCUGUCUGUCCAGUGUCUGUCUGUCUGUUCAGUGUCUGUCUGUCCAGUGUCUGUCUGUCUGUCCAGUGUCUGCCUGUUCAGUGUCUGUCUGUCUGUCCAGUGUCUGUCUGUCCAGUGUCUGUCUGUUCAGUGUCUGUCUGUCUGUUCAGUGUCUGUCUGUCUGUCUGUCCAGUGUCUGUCUGUUCAGUGUCUGUCUGUCCAGUGUCUGCCUGUUCAGUGUCUGCCUGUUCAGUGUCUGUCUGUCUGUUCAGUGUCUGUCUGUCUGUCCAGUGUCUGUCUGUCUGUCCAGUGUCUGUCUGUUCAGUGUCUGUCUGUCCAGUGUCUGUCUGUGUGUUCAGUGUCUGUCUGUCCAGUGUCUGUCUGUCUGUCUGUUCAGUGUCUGUCUGUCUGUCCAGUGUCUGUCUGUUCAGUGUCUGUCUGUCUGUCUGUCUGUCUGUCUGUCUGUCUGUCUGUCUGUCUGUCUGUCUGUCUGUCCAGUGUCUGUCUGUCCAGUGUCUGUCUGUCUGUUCAGUGUCUGUCUGUCUGUUCAGUGUCUGUCUGUUCAGUGUCUGUCUGUCUGUCCAGUGUCUGUCUGUCUGUCCAGAGAGGGGAGGUCUAACCUGACACCACAGACAGACGGAAAGAGAGGGGAGGUCUAACCUGACACCACAGACAGAUAGAGAGGGGAGGUCUAACUUGACACCACAGACAGAUAGAGAGGGGAGGUCUAACCUGACACAACAGACAGAUAGAGUGGACAGCUAGAGAAGGGAGGUCUAACCUGACACCACAGACAGACGGAAAGAGAGGGGAGGUCUGACCUGACACCACAGACAGAUAGAGAGGGGAGGUCUAACCUGACCCCACAGACAGAUGGAAAGAGAGGGGAGGUCUAACCUGACACCACAGACAGACAGAAAGAGAGAGAGGGGAGGUCUAACUUGACACCACAGACAGACGGAAAGAGAGGGGAGGUCUAACCUGACACCACAGACAGAGAGACAGAGAGAGAGGGGAGGUCUAACCUGACACCACAGACAGACGGAAAGAGAGGGGAGGUCUAACUUGACACCACAGACAGACAGAAAAAGAGCGGAGGUCUAACCUGACACUACAGACAGACGGAAAGACAGGGGAGGUCUAACCUGACACCACAGACAGAAAGAGAGGGGAGGUCUAACCUUACACCACAGACAGACGGAAAGAGAGGGGAGGUCUAACCUGACACCACAGACAGAGAGACAGAGAGAGAGGGGAGGUCUAACUUGACACCACAGACAGACAGAAAGAGAGGGGAGGUCUAACCUGACACCACAGACAGACGGAAAGAGAGAGAGGGGAGAUCUAACUUGACACCACAGACAGACAGAAAGAGAGAGGAGGUCUAACCUGACACCACAGACAGAAAGAGAGGGGAGGUCUAACCUGACACCACAGACAGACGGAAAGAGAGGGGAGGCCUGACCUGAUACCGCAGACAGACAGAAAGAGAGGGGAGGUCUAACCUGACACCACAGACAGAAAGAGAGGGGAGGUCUAACCUGACACCACAGACAGACGGAAACAGGGGGGGGCCUGACCUGAUACUGCAGACAGACAGAAAGAGAGGGGAGGUCUAACCUGACACCGCAGACAGACAGAAAGAGAGGGGAGGUCUAACCUGACACCACAGACAGACAGAAAGAGAGAGAGGGGAGGUCUAACUUGACACCACAGACAGACAGAAAGAGAGGGGAGGUCUAACCUGACCACAGACAGACGGAAAGAGAGGGGAGGUCUAACCUGACACCACAGACAGACGGAAAGAGAGGGGAGGUCUAACCCAACACCACUUUCAGACAGAAAGGUUGAAAAGUCCUGAAUCAAGAAAAACAGCAAAAUAAAACCCCUUCUGGGUCCCACAAGGUCAACCACCACCCCUCCACGUCUCUUCACACAUACCUCAGCAUCAGCAUAGCAGUUGGAGUCCAGACCCGGCGGAUGCUGAUGAAGCUAUGCAUACCAUCACCAAGUGUUUGUGUAGAAGAAGAUGAGUAUACACAUUCCUGCUGCAUUUUGGUCCACUCAAUACGACAAACGUUACAGAACUACCCACCAACAACGGACCAAGCAGCGGAGGAAGGAGCAGCAAGAGGAGUAUAAGGAGUCAUGGACUUGGGAGGAGAUAUUAGCUGGAGAAGGACCAUGGAGGAAGACUGGAGAGGACCGGGAACGCUAUGCGGGAACACGGCUGGCAAGGAAGCCUGAGAGGCAGCCCCCCAAAAAUGUUUGGGGGGGGGGCACACGGGAAGAUUGGCUAGGUCAGGCAUUAGACCUGAGCCAACUCCCUGUGCUUAUUAUGGGGAGCGUUUGGCGGUGAGAACGCCAGUAUAUGCGGAAGUGCGCACGAUCUCGCCCAUGCGCACGCACAGUCCGGUGCGAGUAAUACCAGCCCCCGUAAGUGCCGUGCUAGAGUGGGCAUCCAAGCUGGGGUCAUAUUUUGCUAAUGUGCCUGAAAGUAUUAAUGUUGGACUAGGUCUAUAACACUGUAUAAAUGCUGGACUAGGUCUGUAACACUGUAUUAAUGCUGCACUGGGCCAGUAACACUGUAUUAAUGCUGGGCUGGGUCUGUAACACUGUAUUAAUGCUGGACUAGGUCUAUAACACUGUAUUAAUGCUGGACUAGGUCUAUAACACUGUAUUAAUGCUGGACUAGGUCUAUAACACUGUAUUAAUGCUGAACUGGGUCAGUAACACUGUAUUAAUGCUGAACUGGGCCAGUAACACUGUAUUAAUGCUGGACUAGGUCUAUAACACUGUAUUAAUGCUGGACUAGGUCUAUAACACUGUAUUAAUGCUGGACUAGGUCUAUAACACUGUAUUAAUGCUGAACUAGGUCUAUAACACUGUAUUAAUGCUGAACUGGGCCAGUAACACUGUAUUAAAGCUGG